GUACGGGGGAUUGAACCCGGAGUGUUUAACCACUGAGCCACAUCCCCAGUCCUUUUUAAUAUUUUAUUUUAGAGACAGGCCUUGCUGAGUUGCUUAGGGCCUCACUAAUCUGCUGAGGCUGGCUUUGAACUCGCCAUCCUCCUGCCUCAGCUUCCUGAGUAGCUGGGUCCCAGGUGUGCUGCAUCCGGCUGAAUUGAGAUCUCCGUCCCCCUGUUCGUAACGUGCCGUAUUCACAGGCGUUUUCACAUUCUGUAUCUUACUUGAGCCUCACAAGAAUCCCAUGGGGUCUAAGUGGCCUGCAUGAUUUUCAUGGCAUGUUAAUCAUGAAAUUUUUGAAACAGUGCUUAGUCCUGGGAAGAAACUUCCAGCCACUUCCCUCUGCCAAGAACUAUCCAAGAGGCCUCUAAAAAUACUGCCUCUUAUACCCUGGCUUUAGUAGUAAUUCCCCGCUUCGUUGGUGUGGAAGUGGACCCUGAGUUAAUUGACUCUCUCCAGGUCACACGGCUACAAAAAUGCCAAGACUUGGCCCCACACCACUACUUUCUCCACGGUCCUCUGCAGGUUGGCACCUGCUACUGGGCAGAACUGGGCCUGCCUUGGGUGAAUGUUGUUGGGCCCUUUUGGUUUUUAAUGUGCCAAGGGAAUGUAGCAAGAAGUGUGGCUGGAGUUGUGGCAGAGCGCUUGCCUAGCACACAUGAAGCACUAGGUUCGAUCCUCAGCACUGCGUAAAAAUAAAAUAAAGGUGUUGUGUCCACCUACCAAAAAAAAAAAAGUGGCCAGUUGGGCUCCAGCAUAGUGGCACAUGCCUGUAAUCCCAGCUUCUCUGGGGGACUGAAACAUUAGGAUCUUCAAGUUCAAGGCCAGCCUCAGAAACUUAGCAAGAUUAAAAAAAAUAAGGGUCAGGUAUGGUGCAUGCCUGUUAAUCCCAGUGGUUUGGGAGUCUAAGCCAGGAAGAUUACAAGUUCAGAUUCAAAGCCAACCUCAACAACUUGGCAACAUCCUGUCUCAACAAAAAGUGCUGGGGUGUAUGUAGCUCAGUGGCCGAGCACCCCUGGGUUCAAUCCCCUAUACCAAAAGUAGGGAAGGGGGGCAGUCAUGAGUCAAAGGGGUAGGAAAGUGAACGGCCAGGGACCCAGUCGAUCAUACAUGGCAGUAAGGACCGAGACUUUGAGACUGAGUGACUUGGAAAGCUAGUUUUCACCGAAGAGAGGACUGAACUUGUCCAGGCUCCCAGAGGGAAAGGGUGGAGCUAGGACUUGAAUCCAGGUCAGCCUGAUUCUCAGACGGAGCUUCCUCUGGGAGACACCCUGACCCCCAGAGGAAGAAAAUGCUAGUCUUCUCCCUUCACAUGUAACAAAUCCAACUUUUGUAAAACCCUCGGUAACUUUCGAAUCUUUUCAUCUGCUACCUGGUGGGUCCUCGUGAAUGCCAGUCAAACAUUUUGACACCUUCCAGAGCUCCUGAGCCCCCACAUGUCCACCCCCAUUCCCUGGCAGGGGUGGGUGCCAUGCACUGACUUGGCAGAGAAUGUCCUCUGCUGUGCCUCCCACCAGUCCUGACGCCUGGCAGGGUGUCUAAUAGGAGCCCAGUUUCACCUGAGCAGCUCGCCUGGCUUAACUUGUUUUUAUUCAACACCACAAUUUCAUGGAUCACGUCAAGGUCUCCUGCUUCAUCUUUAGAAUCUCGUCAAAGUGUGCUGCUUGGUAGGACCUCUCUGCACUCCCCUUACCUUGCUGGAAGACAGGCUAUUUCAGGGGCCCAAGGCCACACAGGCCCAGUGUGUGUGAGCGCCUGGCUCCCGG
rnacentral:lncRNA from 1 species